GGAAUGAUUGCAAGAUGGUUCUGUCUUAACAUUUGGUGAGUACCCUAUCCUGGUGUCUAGCAGAAUGUAGGGGUGGCAAUCAGGUUGGGCUGGAUUAUAUAUAGGUUGGUUAGAUACAAGUUAGGUCAAAAAUCUGUUGACUCGAACUCAACCUAUUUAUUAAGCAGGUUAAAAAUUUAGGCCUUAACUUGGCUAUUUUGUUUAACAGAUAAUCUGACCUGACCUACACUGGAUUGAAUCAAGUUAAAUAGGUUAAAUAGGUUAAAGUAUUUCUAUCCCUAGUGGGAUGUCCCACCAGAAUUUGAGAGCAUGCUUUUAUCCCUCUUCAUGACAUUUGGUCAAUUAGUACAAUUUAAAGGCAAAAGGAUGUAUAGCAAUAUCUUAAAUACCAAACCUCUCAAAAAAUCAUGGUGACUAUUUAUAAUGUAAACAUCUUGCUGUUGCAUCCAAACACAAGAAAUUGUCUUAUAACCAAAAGGGACUUGAAAUGAUAUGACUUCAGUUGUUAAAGGUGUUUGCGUUGCCUAAGUACCCCAUCACUUUGACAUUUGUCACUUACAUGGAUCCUAGGCAAGGUGGUUGCUGCCUUGCCAGUGUGCCCAGUUGGUGCUAGGAGGGCACCUUGGUUCCUAAAAGACUACCUUCUGAUUUGGGCUAGCACCCUGAUCGCCACUUAUUACCUAAGGGUGAUUUAUGUGAUAUUGCUUCUACUUUUGUUAAAAGAAUAACGAAUCAAGUCAAACGUUCUGUAAGUGUAGUUUGCAUUGUUUUUGAAGAUUGUAGUAUUAAAAGUUGGUGUUUAAUCUACUUUUCUUCUUUGGAAAAUGCAUUCUCUUGCUUCUCUCCAAAUAUGGUCAGGCAUUCAUUAGCUGGGUCUGGGUUAGGCCGAGCUUCAGCCUGGCUUUAUGCAGCCUACAUCCUAGACUUCGUAGCUUGAGCCCAUCUGAAGUCAGGGCUUGAGCUGGUGCCUAGUUUAUUCUGCAUAGCAUUGUCUUGACCAUGGUGGCAUCAUUGCCUAUCCAGGGCCACAUUAUAGAAAGAGAAUGCUGGAUAUUAGGCUGGUUGUGACAGGAAGAGAGUGGUAGCUGUGAGGAUGCCUGUAACAGUGGUGGGUAAAAGGAAGGGGACAUACUGAAUAAUGGUGUAGAGAGGAUAUUUGUGGUGGUGAGGAAAGAUGUGGUGAGGGUUAAACUAAUGGUAACGAGCAGAUUGUGACAUUGCUUUGGAGCCAAUC
rnacentral:lncRNA from 1 species